ensembl:lincRNA
AUGGGAAACAGAGAGAAGAGGAAGCAAGUAAUUAUUUAUUUAUUUUUGCAGCACUGGGACUCACAUAUGCUAGGCAAAUGCUUUACCACUGGCUACAUCUCCAGCCUGGAGCAAGUGUUUGAAUUCAAGACUUUUUUUUUCUUCUGCUCCCAAGUGGGGCCACUUGUCACCCUUGUCAUUUGUUCAAGACGUACGGUUGGCAGCGGCCACCUGUUCAGCGGUCGUGUUCUGAUCUCUAGUUGUGUCCUGCCUGUUCCUCUCCCUCCAUCUCUGGUCCCGGGAGCUGUAUCUGGAGAGCCUCCUCUGCACCAAGACCUCAUGUGGAUGACGAAAUCCUGAAUUCAAGCUGACAUCAUGUGGCAUGAGGCGCUGUGACGAACACCAGUGGAUUCUGCAUGUCCAGUGGGUGUGAACUGUGUUGGCCAGGUCUGGAAGAGCCUUUCAAGGCAUGCACCAUCAGCCUCUGCGGCAUCUGCAGUACACCCUUUUUUCUAUUGCUCACUCUUUCUGGUCCUUUGUUUCAUUUCACCAGCAUUUGUUUAUUACUCAACUCAGAGUUCAUUUGACUAUGUUAGUCUCUUUUAUUACAUGUAUUUGUUUGCUGCUCAUUUAAUUUAUUAUAUUUUUAUUAUCUCAUGACUUUCUUUGGAUCGAUUCUGCUGGUCUUUGUCUUUUGUUUUGGUUGCUAUGUAGCCCAGGCUGGCCUCGAACUCACGUCAAUCCUCCUGCUUCAGCCUCCCAACUGCUGGGAUUAUAGGUGUGCUACCACACCUGGCAUGUGUAAUUUCUUGACUUUAAAAUUUAGCUUUUUAAAUCUCAGCCUAUCUUCUUUUCUAAUGCAAUUAAACAAUGUUAUAUUUCUCCUGAAAUAUAACCCAUGAGUUUCAAUCUGAGGUAUUUUAAAAUUUAUUCAGUUUUAAGUAUUUUCUGAUUUCUGGUAUAAUAUCUUCUUUUGCCAAUUUAGUAUUAUAUUUAAGCUUUUCCAGACAUUCAGGGUAUUUUAAGUUGUUACUACUACUGUUAUUAUCCUUUAGUUACAAGAGAGGCAGCAUGGUGGAAAAUAUACUCAUUCUUAGGUCUUUGAGAUUUAUUUUGUAACCUAUAGCAUGGUCAAUAUUUAUAAAAUCUCUAUGAAAAUGCGUAAUGAAGGUAUAUAUUCUUUAAUAUUGGGUAACAUUUUCUAAAUAUAUUCUACAAAAUCAUAUUUAUUUUUAAAAACUGCUUGGCCAGGGAUUUGGCUCAGAGGUUUUGCCGCCUGCCUCACAAGUGCAAGGUCCCAGGUUCAAUCUCUGGUACCACAAACACACACACACACACACACACACACACACACACACACAGACACACAAAGAAAAAAAAUCUGCUUCCUACUUUUGGAUCCCCCUGUUGGGACUGUAUGCUUGCUAUCUGUGAAAUAUUUGGCAAGAAUAAUCCAGCUUUCCUUCUCUUUCCUAAUGUCACAUUAGAUAUGUGAAAAAAAAAUUUUUUGUACUGGGAUUGAACUUAGGACCAUGAGAUAGGUUUAGCCACUGAGCUAAAUCCCUGGUCCUUAGAUAUUUGAAAUUUUUGAUGAUGUAUUUAUAUGCUUGAUAUUAAACUGUGAAUUUUUUUAGUUUUACACUUAACAGUUACUAUUUUAAAAUACUUGUAUCUGACAUACUCUUCAUAUGAACAAACUGGCUCCAAAUAUUAAACUGGGAAGUCACUGCAAAAUAUUUAGAAAAU